UACAGAGGGGGCAAGCGUUAUUCGGAAUUAUUGGGCGUAAAGGGCGCGUAGGCGGCUUCGCAAGUGGAAGGUGAAAUCCCUCGGCUCACCCGAGGACCUGCAUCCCAAACUGCCGAGCUUGAGUAUGGGAGAGGAUGAGGGAAUUCCUGGUGUAGCGGUGAAAUGCGUAGAGAUGUGGAGGAACACCGAUGGCGAAGGCAGCCCCCCUGGGCUAACACUGACGCUCAUGCACGAAAGCGUGGGGAGCAAACAGG
rnacentral:rRNA from 1 species